AUGAAAAUAAUCCAUGCAGCUAUUGACAUGAUACAUGAGCUUAUGAAGUAUAUUGACUCUUGUCCUUCAAUACUUCAAGAUUUCAAUACAAUUGCAAGUGGGAUGGGUCUACGUGCAAAGAAAGGCAUCUCUGUUGAUACACCAACCAGAUGGAACUCAACCUGGAAAAUGCUUGUAGAAGCAUUGACGUACAAAACUGUUCUCACUAGUUAUGCCAACAGAAAGAUGAUAGAUUCUCCAAGUGAGGAGGAAUGGGAGAAGGCAAAAGCUAUUUGUGAGUUUCUAAAAGCUUUUGAAGAGCUUACUUUGAUCGUUUCAGCUCAUACAUUGAAAGAUCCGGGUUGGCAGACCUCUGAUGUGUUGAAGGAAUUGGCGGCAACGAUGCAAACGAAGCUUGAUAAAUAUUAG
rnacentral:rRNA from 1 species